GGCGCGUGGCUCAUUUGGGUUUAAAAAGCGCCGUCUAGUAAACAGGAGAUCACGAGUUCGAAUCUCGUCGGUGCCC